AGUGAACGCUGGCGGUAUGCCUAACACAUGCAAGUCGAACGGCAGCACAGUAAGAGCUUGCUCUUACGGGUGGCGAGUGGCGGACGGGUGAGGAAUACAUCGGAAUCUACUUUUUCGUGGGGGAUAACGUAGGGAAACUUACGCUAAUACCGCAUACGACCUACGGGUGAAAGCAGGGGAUCUUCGGACCUUGCGCGAUUGAAUGAGCCGAUGUCGGAUUAGCUAGUUGGCGGGGUAAAGGCCCACCAAGGCGACGAUCCGUAGCUGGUCUGAGAGGAUGAUCAGCCACACUGGAACUGAGACACGGUCCAGACUCCUACGGGAGGCAGCAGUGGGGAAUAUUGGACAAUGGGCGCAAGCCUGAUCCAGCCAUACCGCGUGGGUGAAGAAGGCCUUCGGGUCGUAAAGCCCUGUUGUUGGGAAAGAAAAGCAGCAGGUUAAUACCCAGCUGUUCUGACGGUACCCAAAGAAUAAGCACCGGCUAACUUCGUG
rnacentral:rRNA from 1 species